rnacentral:lncRNA from 1 species
CGCUUAUUAGUGUUUUCUUAAUGAAAUAGAAAAAUUUGGGGAGACAAACAGGAGAAACAUGAGGCUGGACAUAGGAAAAAAUGAGUGAAUAGUAGUGUACUAAGACAUUUACCCAGAAUAUAGCUUAGAGAUAAUGAACAGGUAGUUAAGAGAAUUGAAGGAUUGAGAGUCAUCAACUUAAGAAUUUCAGAAAAAUGGAAUAAAGUGAAUGACAAGAGAAGCCAUAUUUGAUAAGACAAUGAGAAUCUUCUUGUGUUGGAGAUAGUUUACAGAUGAAAAAUUUUCAAAUAUUAAGGAAGGUAAAAAUAAGUCCACCCAUGUCUUGAAAUUAUGGGG